GCCGAAAUAGCUCAGUUGGGCGCGCGUUGGACUGAAGAUCUAAAGGUUCCUGGUUCAAACCCGGGUUUUGGCA